UACAGAGGUCCCGAGCGUUGUUCGGAUUCAUUGGGCGUAAAGGGCGCGUAGGCGGCCUUCUAAGUCAGACGUGAAAUCCCCCGGCUUAACCUGGGAACUGCGUCUGAUACUGGAGGGCUUGAGUGCGGGAGAGGGAUGUGGAAUUCCAGGUGUAGCGGUGAAAUGCGUAGAUAUCUGGAGGAACAUCGGUGGCGAAGGCGGCAUCCUGGACCGAUAUUGACGCUGAGGCGCGAAAGCCAGGGGAGCAAACGGG
rnacentral:rRNA from 1 species